rnacentral:tRNA from 1 species
GCUCAGCUCAGCUCAGUGGUUAGAGCACCUGGUUAACACCUAGGAGGUCGCUGGUUCAAUCCCAGCUCUGGUUG